rnacentral:siRNA from 1 species
CAUUAGCAUGGGAUAACAUCA